rnacentral:rRNA from 1 species
GACGAACGCUGGCGGCGUGCUUAACACAUGCAAGUCGAACGGAAAGGCCCUGCUUUUGUGGGGUGCUCGAGUGGCGAACGGGUGAGUAACACGUGAGUAACCUGCCCUUGAAUUUGGGAUAACUUCAGGAAACUGGGGCUAAUACCGGAUAUGAGCUCCUGCUCCAUGGUGGGGGUUGGAAAGAUUCGGCGGUUGGAGAUGGACUCGCGGCUUAUCAGCUUGUUGGUGGGGUAGUGGCUUACCAAGGCUUUGACGGGUAGCCGGCCUGAGAGGGUGACCGGCCACAUGGGGACUGAGAUACGGCCCAGACUCCUACGGGAGGCAGCAGUUGGGAAUAUUACACAAUGGGCGGAAGCCUGAUGCAGCAACGCCGCGUGCGGGAUGACGGCCUUCGGGUUGUAAACCGCUUUCGCCUGUGACGAAGCGUGAGUGACGGUAAUGUGUAAAGAAGCACCGGCUAACUACGUG